rnacentral:lncRNA from 1 species
CUAGAUUGUCAAGAGAAAAAAGUUUUAUGUAUAAAAUAUACAGUAGAAUUGGAAGAUGGAUCUAAUAAGAAUAACACUAAGGAAACACCAUCCUUCAAAAACUAAAAGCUCCUUGAUGAGCAAGAAAAUGAAGUGUCCCAGAAGAGGAAAUGCAGUAAAUGUGUUGGGGAUAAAAAGAAGGUUAGAAAGCAAACAAUUUCAGAAGGGAAGAAAUGACCUCUAAAAGGGAAGCUGGGAUGAUAGCAAAGGCAAUGUCAACGUCCUCACAAUUUCAUUUAGAUUUUCC